AAGAGAUCCUCUAUAUCCUCUACUUCGAGAUUGGCUGGUGAAGUUUCUAGAAAUUUUAGCAUUUCUUCUUUCUCUGAUUCUUGUGCUAAGAUAACAUCUUUUGCAUUGACAAGGAUGAUCAACAUUAAAAAAUAAAUAAAGAAUGGAUCUGCUUGUUGUAGAUAACCAUCCCAUAUUGCCUGAGUUACUUCGGUUGAGCAGUAAUAUGAGAAAAGGCUUCCAAGCCAGUUGAGUGCAUAUGAGUCCGGUGUCAUCUUCUUAGUAUCAAGAAAGGAGCAGAGUUCAGGCUCAUGGUACUGAAGAAGCAGCCUGAAUAAGUGAAAUGGUCUUCCC
rnacentral:lncRNA from 1 species